UACGUAGGGGGCAAGCGUUGUCCGGAAUCAUUGGGCGUAAAGAGCGCGUAGGCGGUCCGGUAAGUCCGCUCUGAAAGUCCGGGGCUCAACCCCGGGAGGCGGGCGGAUACUGUCGGGCUAGAGUCCGGAAGAGGCGAGUGGGAUUCCUGGUGUAGCGGUGAAAUGCGCAGAUAUCAGGAGGAACACCAAUGGCGAAGGCAGCUCGCUGGGACGGUACUGACGCUGAGGCGCGAAAGCGUGGGGAGCAAACAGG
rnacentral:rRNA from 1 species